rnacentral:rRNA from 1 species
CAGCAGCCGCGGUAAUACAGAGGGUGCGAGCGUUAAUCGGAUUUACUGGGCGUAAAGCGUGCGUAGGCGGCUUCUUAAGUCGGAUGUGAAAUCCCUGAGCUUAACUUAGGAAUUGCAUUCGAUACUGGGAAGCUAGAGUAUGGGAGAGGAUGGUAGAAUUCCAGGUGUAGCGGUGAAAUGCGUAGAGAUCUGGAGGAAUACCGAUGGCGAAGGCAGCCAUCUGGCCUAAUACUGACGCUGAGGUACGAAAGCAUGGGGAGCAAACAGGAUUAGAUACCCCGGUAGUCCCUGUCUCUUAUAC